rnacentral:rRNA from 1 species
CAGCAGUAGCCACGGUAAUACGUAGGUGGCAAGCGUUGUCCGGAAUUAUUGGGCGUAAAGGGCUCGCAGGCGGUUUCUUAAGUCUGAUGUGAAAGCCCCCGGCUCAACCGGGGAGGGUCAUUGGAAACUGGGAAACUUGAGUGCAGAAGAGGAGAGUGGAAUUCCACGUGUAGCGGUGAAAUGCGUAGAGAUGUGGAGGAACACCAGUGGCGAAGGCGACUCUCUGGUCUGUAACUGACGCUGAGGAGCGAAAGCGUGGGGAGCGAACAGGAUUAGAUACCCCCGUAGUCCCUGUCUCUUAUAC